rnacentral:rRNA from 1 species
AUGGGGGUACUUUAUAAUAUGAUCAGGCAAAUCCAUUCUGGAUCAACUAGCUUACAUCAAAACUACUAUGUGCAAGAAGAUCUACGACGCACUUGCAACAAAACUAGAAAAUUCUAUUGUUACGGUUCGAAAACACUGUUUUCCAUCCUAGAUGAGGUUCAUGAUAGUUCUGCUUAUGAAAUCUUCCGAGCAAGAUUCUUCACUCCCGCACCAACACAUUUUAGAGUGACCGUGUUUGAGUUUGGGUCAGGCUUGAUGAUGAACUUGACAUCAAGGAACUCCUUAAUGUUUCGAAGUGAUUCUAUAGCGCGCGGUGUUAGCUGUCCCACGCGAACCUUUGACACAUCGGGCGGGCAUAGAGCGCACAGCAUGAACAGAAGGCCCUGCAAAUUGUUUACAAGAGAAACAUCAUGUGACUUAACAGAAGAAGCAAGAUUCAAAAGGAGCCAUAGAAGGAAAGGCAGACAGUCUCAGACAUCAUCUUGCCAAAAUGAACCAAGGACUAGAUUGGCAGAAGAACUUGGAUAA